AAGCUCGUAGUUGAAUUUCGGGGUUCUACCGUUGAUCAGGCAAUAAUCUGUACUGGUGUAUGGAAUUUCUACCUUCUGGGGAACUAUCAUGCUAUUUAUUUAGUAUGGUGGGAAACCAGAACCUUUACCUUGAAAAAAUUAGAGUGUUCAAAGCAGGCUUAUGUCUGAAUACAUUAGCAUGGAAUAAUAAAAUAGGACGGUGGUUCUGUUUUGUUAGUUUCUGAAUUACCAUAAUGAUUAAUAGGGAUAGUUGGG
rnacentral:rRNA from 1 species